rnacentral:lncRNA from 1 species
UCCAGGGGUGCAAGUUUUCCGGUUUAUGCCGGAUUUCCGGUUUUUCGAGGGUCCGAGAGAUCAUUUUUCCAAAUCGUGUAAAUCCGUUGAGAAAUUGGGGGGGGGGGGGGGGGGUGAUGGACGCGAGACCACGAAGACAGAAACUGACCGUUUCGCGGAGGUGCAAGUGCAGGAGCAGUUGUCGUUCGUUGCAAGGGAAACAACCAUUUUGCGACUUCCCGUACACCGUUCUCGCGCGCGCACUCUUCAAAAAUCCAAAAACGCACUAUUUGUUCGAAAAUAUCCAAUAUGCAAUUUCUACGGCCCGGUACGGACAUGAAAGUGUUGGACAAGGAGUGUAAAAAUAGAGUAGAGAUGGGAUUGUAUGAAUUAAAGGACUCGUCUGGCAACAAAUACGAGAGUUGGUUGAAAAAAAACAACAACAGACCUUCCAGCCGUAAUAUGGGAAAACGAUGAUCAGUCGUCGGGGAAAAAGGCAGUGAAGAAUCAUUCAAAGGAUAAAACACACCAAAACUGUAAAAACUAUUCAGGUACUUCCUGGCUGUGGAUUCUCGUUUAGAGUCAAUGCAGGAGAGAAUCCUUACUACAGCAGUUGUAAGUGAACAUUGUCUGCCUUUCUCUCUGGCAGGUGACAUCAUAGAUCUAGUGAAAUGACUUGCUGAAGACAAGGUAGCACUAGAUAAAAUAAAAAAAAUUAUCCAGGACCAGUGCAGCAUAUAUGUGAAUACUCAUAAGGAAAAUUUUGUGUCACUGAACAUUGAUGAGGCAACUAAUAGAAAUAUUGACAAAGUGCUUAACAUUAUAGUGCAGUAUUAUGAUGAAGAGUCAAACAAAGUUGUAUUUGACCACUUAGGUUCAAGAAUUCAGAAUGUUGCUGCAGCUGCUGAAAUUGUGAAGUCUAUAGAAAGUGUUCUGUUAGAUUAUGAAAUAAAGUGGACACAAGUUGUGAAUGUUUUGAUGGACAACUGUAGCAUCAUGAGGGGAGUGAAAGGAGGAGUUGAGACUCUUAUAAGAGGAAAAAAUGGUUGUCUUCUUGAUGUCAGUGGGGACACGGUCCACAUGAUAAGCAAUGUGGCCAAAACAUUGAUGAAAAAUGUAGACAGUGUUCUUCAGAGUAUUUGCUUUGACCAAUACUAUGAGGUAGAGAAGUCCCCAAAAGCGAAGGAAAUUGUAAAUGAAAUGAUGACUUUGAUGAAUGCUGAAAUAUCCAAGCAUCUUAUUAGACCAAUCAGCAGCGGAUUUCUCCAGAUGUACAAUGUCACCUCAAGGCUGGUAGAAGUGUUUUGACUACCUAACUGUUUAUUACGCAGCAUUUCUCACUGACUGGUAUUAUAAGUGAACUAUAGUUAAAACCUAUUAAGAUUAUUAUUACACCCCUGUUAGGACUUUUAAUGCACCAAUCCUACCAUGUAAUUUUCACAGUCAUUAAUUAAUUUAUAAAUUAAAGAAAUGUGUUACUUGAAUUAAUGGCAUUUCUAAUAAAAAAGUAAAUAAAAAUAUAAAGUA